GUUAGAGAGAGGAAAGCAUGGCCCUUAUUGUCAAAAAAGGAGAGAAGGAGUUGUAUAGAAACUCUCUAAUCACUGUUAAAUAAAUGUUGUAUGAACUCUUGGGCCAGUGAGUUGAAAUUCACUUGGAGUCAACAGUGAUUCAUUAUAAAUCUUCCCCAAGUUUAUUCCGUUUUCAGUAGCUAUCAGCAGGUGAGAUCAAGGGUAUGCAGUAGGUAGAGUGCACUUGGUAUUAAGCAGGCAUUAGACAGACCCUCUCAUGGUAAUUUGGGGACAAGAUAGGGAAAUGCUUAUCUCUUAUCUCGAACUGUGAGUUAGUUUAAUCUAUAGCUUUUUGAGAGAGAGAACCUAAACAGGAAAGCUGCUCACCUCAUGGUAUCCAGGGAACAGAGAAUGGGGCUGUUAAAUCAACAGCCUAUAGGUCACAGUUAGACUGCUUUCACUCUGUGUCACUAUCAGAGCACCUCUAUAGGUGACAGUGUGACCAUUGGUAUGGCAGUCAUUUUUAGAUACACCAGGCUCCGUACCACACUUUUCCCUCUAAGUUGCCAGCACAGGCUGAGUGCCCCACCUACCAGCAUGUCUCCUUAAAUUUUUGACAAUGCACCUGUUUGGAAAAGGAGCCCAAGGGAGCAUGACAGCCUUCCUGCUGCCCAGGGAUGCUUGAGCUCUCCUGUGCUCGGCCCACUUCCUGCGCUGUCUUCUCUGAGAUACCUGUUUCCUUCAACACAGUGGCCAUUUUUUGUUGAGUUAGUUUGAAGGGUUUUUGUCCUUUGUUCCCUCAUGAAGAUCCUCACGUUACACAGGAACCAAAUGAUAGCGUUUGCCUGGUGGAGGCAGGGAGUCAGAGAAAAGAAGAUGGCACAGUUACUUUCUCAGCCCUGGACAGAAGAUGGAACGGCACUUCACACUUACCUGGCCUGGUUUCUGCAUCUUCGUUGGACUGGGUAUCAGAGCCUAUCAAAUCCUUGUGCAGAGAUAUUUCCACAGAAUGCAAACCCUUGAGUCAAAUUUCAUCAAAAAUGUUAAGAGUAUCUUUAAAACAGACUAAGAGCAACAAGAGUAAUCAAAUGUAUACAUUUGAAUUGCAUUGUAACUUGAACGGGUAGAAUAUUUGAACACAUUCAUUUGUAUUUCCUUGUGAACUUAUUUUGUAGUCUUGAAAGGGCCUUGUCUGGACUUCUUCCUUGUGCAUAAUGAAUUAUUUUGUAGAAGUGUAAAUACCGGGAGGGUUGCCACUCCUCAACAGUCUUGUCUUAAAAUCUGGGCUGUGUUAGCAUAGUUCCCGUGUGCCACACUGGAUUAAAGGCCAUGCCAAGUUUAGAUGCAUCUGCUUGGCAUGAAGUCUCAUUACAGACUAACUCUUGCUUUUGCAGUGACUAGCCAACGGUAAGCAUGUUGCAAUGUAAAAAUACCAUAUUAUGCUUUAAGCAAUCACUGUGCUAUCUGGAUGCCUUAUUGCCAGAUAUUUACACACAUAUGCAUAUAGAUACAUAACAUAAUCUUUCAAGCCAUACCGAUAGUUUUAUCAGUGUCUCCUGAAGUCAACAGAAGGGGUGUUGGACUAGAACCACUAAGAGUUACUUAUCUCUGUGGCAAGCUUUUCCUGAUACUGAGCAACCAAAGCAAAAACAAUAGCAUCAGCAAUAUAAUAAGUUACUG
rnacentral:lncRNA from 1 species